rnacentral:rRNA from 1 species
CUCUUAAAAUAAUUUUAAGUCUUCUCUGCUCAAUGAAUUUUUAAUAGCCGCAGUAUUUUGACUGUGCUAAGGUAGCAUAAUAAUUUGUCUUAUAAUUGAAGACUAGAAUAAAUGAGCAAACACCAAAAUAUCUUUUUUAUCUUUUUAUUAAAAAUUAAUUUAUUUGUUAAAAAGCAAAACUUUUUAAAGGGACGAUAAGACCCUAUAAAACUUUACUUUAAAAAUUAUUAAUAAGACACAAAACUUUUAAGAGUUAAGCUGGGGCGGCAUUUAAUAUUCUUUAAUAAAAUUAACAAUAUUACUGAAAUAGAAAGAACUUUUUUUUAAAAAAAAGUUAAAUCAAGUUACUUUAGGGAUAACAGCACAAUUUCUUCUUAAAGACCUUAUUAAAGAAGAAGACUUGUGACCUCGAUGUUGAAUUGAAGAGCUUAUUUUAAGCAAAAAUAAAAUAAAGAAGUCUGUUCGACUUUUAAUCCUUC